UACGUAGGGGGCAAGCGUUGUCCGGAAUCAUUGGGCGUAAAGAGCGCGUAGGCGGUCCGAUAAGUCGGUUGUGAAAACUGGGGGCUCAACCCUCAGAGGCCGACCGAUACUGUCGGGCUAGAGUCCGGAAGAGGCGAGUGGAAUUCCUGGUGUAGCGGUGAAAUGCGCAGAUAUCAGGAGGAACACCGGUGGCGAAGGCGGUUCUCUGGGAAUGUCCUGACGCUGAGGAGGGAAAGUGUGGGGAGCGAACAGG
rnacentral:rRNA from 1 species